AAAUACCUCACGCCAUGAUUAAAAAUGAACAAAGCAUGAGAAAAGGUGAGAGAUGAAAAAUAUUUGGGUAAAAAAAACAUUGAAAAAAAGGUUAACUCACAAAAGGGCGAGAUUUAACAUAGAGAAUGUUAAUGCACUUGAAUGUUAUCAAUAUUAUUACUUACCAUUGUUGUUAUCAUUAAUGUUAUUAUUUAACCUGUACAACAAUGUUACCAGUUUUAAUCCACCGUUAAGCUUAAAUCUUGUCGUGUGUAGUUGCAUGUUAAGCUUUUAAAUCGUUGAGCCGCAACUUUCAAGUUAAGCGCUCUUUUUUACUUGAUUGGAUUUAACCAGUAAGAAACGAAGGGGGGAAACAGAGAGAAAGAAAGAGAAUUGUUUCUCCAUUUUUUUUCUUGUAACUUACGCUUUUUUUACUUAAUCUUGUAAUAGUUUGGGGCUGUUUUUGUUGCCAUUAUUGUAUUUUUUGUGUGUGUGUGUAACAUUUUACAUCGGCUGGUGUUGAACAAGAUUGGUAAAAAUGGUUACUCACGAUAAUGGGAGCGCCAAGGUGAAAGCUCAAUGUUUAAUUACAAAGGUUUUACUUUACAACUGAUUGUACUUUUGGUUGGACUGGAUAUGUAUCUUGGUAUAUAAAAUGGUUGAUAUAGUUGGCACUCAUUAGAAUGACUGGAGGGCUUCUCGAUGUUCAUCAUUAUCAUUAUCUAAAGCCUAUUCUUUACCUCCUACUCUUUACUCUAAAACUUUCUGUUUUUUUCUCUCUUCUUCUCUCUUCUUUUUCUUUUUACCUUGUGUUUCCAUCAGCAUUACCUGUGCGUGUAAAACUUUCCCAUAGAAAAGUGUACCUAUUUUUUCAAUAGUAUAAGUGUGUAUGUACGUUUUUUCCCAGGACUUUCAAUGUUCAUCAUCAUUCUUUCUUCUUGGUUAUGUAUGUUAUUUUGUGUUCUAAGUGACUGUAAAUGAAAUAAUAUUGUAUAUAAGGAGACUAACCAAGUGUAAUUUACAUCAAAUUAGACUGUUACUUAAUGUCGUCUCUUUUCAGUACAGAUUAAUGUAAUUAAGAAACCAUAAGAAAUUAA